rnacentral:rRNA from 1 species
ACUAAGCGUACACGGUGGAUGCCCUGGCAGUCAGAGGCGAUGAAGGACGUGCUAAUCUGCGAUAAGCGUCGGUAAGGUGAUAUGAACCGUUAUAACCGGCGAUUUCCGAAUGGGGAAACCCAGUGUGUUUCGACACACUAUCAUUAACUGAAUCCAUAGGUUAAUGAGGCGAACCGGGGGAACUGAAACAUCUAAGUACCCCGAGGAAAAGAAAUCAACCGAGAUUCCCCCAGUAGCGGCGAGCGAACGGGGAGCAGCCCAGAGCCUGAAUCAGUGUGUGUGUUAGUGGAAGCGUCUGGAAAGGCGCGCGAUACAGGGUGACAGCCCCGUACACAAAAAUGCACAUACUGUGAGCUCGAUGAGUAGGGCGGGACACGUGGUAUCCUGUCUGAAUAUGGGGGGACCAUCCUCCAAGGCUAAAUACUCCUGACUGACCGAUAGUGAACCAGUACCGUGAGGGAAAGGCGAAAAGAACCCCGGCGAGGGGAGUGAAAAAGAACCUGAAACCGUGUACGUACAAGCAGUGGGAGCACGCUUCGGCGUGUGACUGCGUACCUUUUGUAUAAUGGGUCAGCGACUUAUAUUCUGUAGCAAGGUUAACCGAAUAGGGGAGCCGAAGGGAAACCGAGUCUUAACUGGGCGUUAAGUUGCAGGGUAUAGACCCGAAACCCGGUGAUCUAGCCAUGGGCAGGUUGAAGGUUGGGUAACACUAACUGGAGGACCGAACCGACUAAUGUUGAAAAAUUAGCGGAUGACUUGUGGCUGGGGGUGAAAGGCCAAUCAAACCGGGAGAUAGCUGGUUCUCCCCGAAAGCUAUUUAGGUAGCGCCUCGUGAACUCAUCUUCGGGGGUAGAGCACUGUUUCGGCAAGGGGGUCAUCCCGACUUACCAACCCGAUGCAAACUGCGAAUACCGGAGAAUGUUAUCACGGGAGACACACGGCGGGUGCUAACGUCCGUCGUGAAGAGGGAAACAACCCAGACCGCCAGCUAAGGUCCCAAAGUCAUGGUUAAGUGGGAAACGAUGUGGGAAGGCCCAGACAGCCAGGAUGUUGGCUUAGAAGCAGCCAUCAUUUAAAGAAAGCGUAAUAGCUCACUGGUCGAGUCGGCCUGCGCGGAAGAUGUAACGGGGCUAAACCAUGCACCGAAGCUGCGGCAGCGACACUAUGUGUUGUUGGGUAGGGGAGCGUUCUGUAAGCCUGUGAAGGUGUGCUGUGAGGCAUGCUGGAGGUAUCAGAAGUGCGAAUGCUGACAUAAGUAACGAUAAAGCGGGUGAAAAGCCCGCUCGCCGGAAGACCAAGGGUUCCUGUCCAACGUUAAUCGGGGCAGGGUGAGUCGACCCCUAAGGCGAGGCCGAAAGGCGUAGUCGAUGGGAAACAGGUUAAUAUUCCUGUACUUGGUGUUACUGCGAAGGGGGGACGGAGAAGGCUAUGUUGGCCGGGCGACGGUUGUCCCGGUUUAAGCGUGUAGGCUGGUUUUCCAGGCAAAUCCGGAAAAUCAAGGCUGAGGCGUGAUGACGAGGCACUACGGUGCUGAAGCAACAAAUGCCCUGCUUCCAGGAAAAGCCUCUAAGCAUCAGGUAACAUUAAAUCGUACCCCAAACCGACACAGGUGGUCAGGUAGAGAAUACCAAGGCGCUUGAGAGAACUCGGGUGAAGGAACUAGGCAAAAUGGUGCCGUAACUUCGGGAGAAGGCACGCUGAUAUGUAGGUGAAGUCCCUCGCGGAUGGAGCUGAAAUCAGUCGAAGAUACCAGCUGGCUGCAACUGUUUAUUAAAAACACAGCACUGUGCAAACACGAAAGUGGACGUAUACGGUGUGACGCCUGCCCGGUGCCGGAAGGUUAAUUGAUGGGGUUAGCGGUAACGCGAAGCUCUUGAUCGAAGCCCCGGUAAACGGCGGCCGUAACUAUAACGGUCCUAAGGUAGCGAAAUUCCUUGUCGGGUAAGUUCCGACCUGCACGAAUGGCGUAAUGAUGGCCAGGCUGUCUCCACCCGAGACUCAGUGAAAUUGAACUCGCUGUGAAGAUGCAGUGUACCCGCGGCAAGACGGAAAGACCCCGUGAACCUUUACUAUAGCUUGACACUGAACAUUGAGCCUUGAUGUGUAGGAUAGGUGGGAGGCUUUGAAGUGUGGACGCCAGUCUGCAUGGAGCCGACCUUGAAAUACCACCCUUUAAUGUUUGAUGUUCUAACGUUGACCCGUAAUCCGGGUUGCGGACAGUGUCUGGUGGGUAGUUUGACUGGGGCGGUCUCCUCCUAAAGAGUAACGGAGGAGCACGAAGGUUGGCUAAUCCUGGUCGGACAUCAGGAGGUUAGUGCAAUGGCAUAAGCCAGCUUGACUGCGAGCGUGACGGCGCGAGCAGGUGCGAAAGCAGGUCAUAGUGAUCCGGUGGUUCUGAAUGGAAGGGCCAUCGCUCAACGGAUAAAAGGUACUCCGGGGAUAACAGGCUGAUACCGCCCAAGAGUUCAUAUCGACGGCGGUGUUUGGCACCUCGAUGUCGGCUCAUCACAUCCUGGGGCUGAAGUAGGUCCCAAGGGUAUGGCUGUUCGCCAUUUAAAGUGGUACGCGAGCUGGGUUUAGAACGUCGUGAGACAGUUCGGUCCCUAUCUGCCGUGGGCGCUGGAGAACUGAGGGGGGCUGCUCCUAGUACGAGAGGACCGGAGUGGACGCAUCACUGGUGUUCGGGUUGUCAUGCCAAUGGCACUGCCCGGUAGCUAAAUGCGGAAGAGAUAAGUGCUGAAAGCAUCUAAGCACGAAACUUGCCCCGAGAUGAGUUCUCCCUGACCCUUUAAGGGUCCUGAAGGAACGUUGAAGACGACGACGUUGAUAGGCCGGGUGUGUAAGCGCAGCGAUGCGUUGAGCUAACCGGUACUAAUGAACCGUGAGGCUUAACC